UGUGCUGGCUGGACCAACGCUGGACCCAGGACUGACAGAACUGAAGCAUGAUUUCAACCGCUGUGAUGCCAUUGCUGAAUGAAGCAGUCCAAAAAUCCCAUCUUCUCAUCCUUCCUCCAGAAUAAUGCCUGACCUACUGUUUGGCCAAGCUGUGGUAUAGUCUUGUCUGUAAAUCAGCUUUGCUGACCCACAUUGUAUCUGAGCACUGAAACCACUAAUCUAAAUCUUACCUUUAAGCUUUCUGUUGUUUUACUUAAGGCAGCAGCCAGGCUUACUUUAAUGAACUGCUUUGAUCCCACUCUGGAUCUAAAGCAAGUAAGGAAUGAUACAGUAGUCUCUUGUGCAUAAUUCUGACAUAAUAAUCUUUCACACAGCCGUCAUGUGGACACCAGAAUUAUUACAACCCUGUUGGGAUAGAGGCAAGAAAUACAGAAAUGGAGAGAGAGAUUCAGACCUUAUUGCUAAAAAUUCAUAGUUAUCCAAUGAAGCUUUCCUUAAGGCCUCAAAUACCCACUUCUCUGAAACUCUGUUCCCAGCAUCACUCAUACACAUUAUGUGCAAGGCUGGGUGCUGAUAAGUAUUUGUUUUCUUACGCUCCUUUCAAUUCAUGCUACAAACAUUUGAAUUUAGCAGUAGUAAUACUUGCUGCAGUUCUGGCAAUUGCAAAGUUACUGCUAUUGAAUUCCAUCUUGGUUUAUAAUCUUUAGUUGUUAUAACUUAUGUUACAUGAUUUAAGAGUAGCUUUGACAAUUUUUAAUAUUUCAGUUCCCCACCUCUAGCGGGACUGCCUUCAUUAAAAGCCCUUCAGUGAAUCUCUCAAGUCCAUAUAUAAAUUAAAUGGCCAACAGUCUCAGCUGGGAAGGUGUCAGUUCCUGUUCCAGAAACUCAGAUAUUACAUAUCAUAUUUUGUCACUUGCUAUUGCUUGUCAGCAGGAAGCAGUAAAUCAGGAAUCUUACCAUCUGGGGACAAAAUCAGCACAAGUAUCAUAGCUGCAGAGCUAAAACAGCAAUAGCAAUGUGAGGAUUAAUACCCAUUUAACAAAACAAUGACUAAUUAUGGUGAAAUGCAAUCUUAUCAUCCAUUGCUACACAUUAAGAAAGCACUUCACCAAAUUUGCUGGCAGCCUGGAGUGGCUUGUUACCUAUUGAUGGCAAAUGUUCAGGACACUCCUCAGUUGAAAUGAAUCCUCUGUCUUUUCAGACUAAUCCUUCGUGACAAGCAAGGCAAUCAGUAAACAAUUGAAUAUCCUUAAAGACAAACACUAGUAAUAAAAAUAAGUGAACUAGAAACCCCUACGUGAUGGUUGAAAGCACUUUGGGAUUUUGAGAGCUGGCUGAUCUGCUGUACGCAUAGAUUCUGCAAGUCUUUAUUGUAUGCACAGCUCCUCCCAAAUUUGCCCUGUAGCAAAAUCAUAUGAUCUGUGCCACAACCAGAAUAGAAUCUACAGUAACUAAAAAUAAACUGUUUCUCUGCAAAUUCAUGGCUCAGUUUCGUCCAGCUCAUAAAUAACUUUUCAGCGUUGGUCAGCAAACACAGAUCCUUAUGGUUAUCACAACGUGCAUGACCUCAUUAAGUGUCAUAUGGGUGGGCAACGUUAGUCUUCAAGUCUUCAAAUACUUGCAACACGUGGCUUUGGUCCCAGAUGUUUGUUUAGUAAGUCAGGAGUUCUCUCACCAGCUUAUAUUACACACAUUUGUAUAUCUCAACAAUAGAACCAUCUGACCCAGCUGCUUUGCUACUUGCUUGAUAGCUUUCAGUACUUCAGAGGAACCUGGCAAUACUGGGUGACAAAUUUAUUACCAGAAGCUGCUUACACUUCUGUAGCACUAAUUCUGUUAUACAUGAAUGGUGGGAAAGCUUAUUAAUCACCACCUUUCCAGUAUCUCUGCAUGACCAAUAAUAACAUCUACCCUAAAGCUAGAAAUGGCUCUGCCUACCUGCAGGUCAGACAAAGCUAACAGCACAAUGAACGUUAAAGUUUCUUUAAUCAGCAUGUGAUUGACACUACUUUAUUUGUCCAGCAGUUCUUAUUCAUUAAAUCAAAUUUAAAUUACAGUCUUCUUUUUUUUUAAACAUAAAACUGCUUCUGACUGAGUUCAAAUUAGAUUUUAAGUUACAUGAACUUAUUUGAGGCUUUUUCCUAUUAGAAUAAUAUUUUCAGGCUAACAGCAAAAACUUAAGCUUUGUAAUCAUCUAUGUUUUACUUUUUACAUACUUGUUUUUGGAAACAUUUACCAUAAGCUUGCCUUAUUUUAAAUUUUAGAAGAAACAGACAGUGGGCUAUCUCUACAGGACUUUUACAAGACAAGAUCUGUUCAUCUCUCUGAUCUCUGCAUGAAAAGGGAAAUGAUCUCAUUCAGCAAGCAUAGUAUUUUGACAAAUGUUGGGGAUUUUAGAGCCUUCCCUGUAAAAUGAGUUGUUAUUGCUUUUAGAAAGGACUUUUUAGUUACUAAAGAAUGUCUUAAGAGUUGUUGCUUGCUUUCUACCAGGAAAUAAUCAAACUAGUAUGGGUCAAUAAAGAGUAUAGGUAUCUUAAUUUCAAAUAAAAAAAAUAUUUGUACAAGUUGCUUAUGUCUCUAAUAAAAAUAACAUAGUUUUAGAAAUUUCCUUGCUUCAAGAAUGAAAGCAAAAAUAUUAUUCUUAUUAUUGGCAUGUAGCAAUUGUGCUGCUUUGACAGAUGUUUCUCAGAAUUAUUUCUGAUUUGUUCCCAGAUGAACAUAGUUCUAGGUCAUAGAUUUAAACUCAGUUAAGAAAAAAAACUGCAAAGAAUUUUAUGUUUGAUAGUUUGUACAAGUGGUAAUAAGUGGUUCAUAUCCUAGCAAAAGAAAUUCAGCUUCCUCAAAAGGAAACCAAGCAAACUCAAGUAACUUUAAUUACAAAAUCAGCGUCCAAGAAGAAGGAUUGUUAGCAUUAGGCUACAGAUAUGUACUAUUUUACAUUACUAUUUUAUUUAUCGCACAACUAAGCAAUUUUAUCACACACACAAUAUACCACGAUCUUUAAAUAUUUGUCUCAAGGAUUCAGACAUAAUGUGACUUGUCCACAAGAUGGCAUACACUGUGUCCAAAAGGAACUGACACAGCAGAAUGCAUUGCAACAUCUAUGGGACAAAAAGGCUUCUACAUAAUUAUUCUUCAUUUUGUUAUCUUUCUAGACAAGCACAGAAGAAAAUCUGUCUGUAAUGGUUUUCAUGAUUUGGUUAUAUAAUCUAAAAAUCUGCUUGCUUCAGAGGUAAGCAGAAACUUCACUUCACAUGGAAAACAGAAAGUGUCUGUCAUCCAGGGGAACCACUUUUUCUCUGUGACUUCAGGUGGCUGUAACCAAGUCAAGUCAUACACAAGAAGCAAAGGCAUUGUAGUGAGAAGGAUGAUAACCUUGCCAAACAUCUGUUUUUACCAGUGUCUAUCUCACUGCCUAGGAGAAGCAGGCAAGAGUGGAAAGAGAAAAGAGCUUAGGGUCCUGCUGAAAGUACUGACCAAAUCCCCCAAAACUCAAAAUGAAGACAACAAUGCUUCAUAGGAAGAUGAAACUAAGAACAGUCUAGAGAAUUUAUCCUUACAUACCUGAUAACCAAAAAGGCAUCAAAUUCUCAGGGCUCUCAGGAGGUCUGUUCAGAUUAAAAAAGAAAACAAAAUACAACCCCCCCACCCCGCAUCCUGCCACAGAUGCUGCCAGAAAUAGAAACAUUAAAGGAAUACAACCGACCCAUCUGUCCCCUUUGGAUCUCGUAGUUAUAUUGGACUAUACUUUUUGAAAUAAAGUUCGCGCAGAGAGGUAACAUUCUUCUAUUAGACUCACCUAUGAAGCUCAUCUUCAGAUGAGGUCCUAUGUGCCUUAAAGGUCCUAUGUGACAUAAACUUUGUUUAUGGCAGCUUAAUAAAAGGACUUACCACUCUGCAAACUUGACCUUGUUUUCAUCUGUCAUAACUUUAGCAUUACUAUAGAGACAGCACUGCACUUUUUU